CCCCCAAAGGGGGUGCGGGGGAGACUCUCCCCCACGGGGUGGUGAGGUUCUACAGCCUGGGCGGCGCUGAGGACGCCGCCGAGUGCCUGGACGGCUCGCUGGUGGGCGGCAAGACUGUCGAGGUCCGCGUGGACGACCUGGGUUGCCUUCCC